CUCGUUUCCUCUAUCCUGUGUGUCCCCCCCAGUCAUUUCCAUUUCUUUGCAUUUCUGUAGGCUCACAAAAUGUCCCCCAGUUUCUAUCUGUGUGGCCAAAAGUUCUCUAAGGAUGUGAAAAUGUGACAUGGGACAGAAGUGUCUCCUCAGGUGAAGGGAAGCUUAGCCUAGAGGGCUGCAAUAUGAGCACAGCCAUUGCCAUGCAGGGUCUUUGAAUUGGAGAUGCUGGCUGCAUUAGGGAUCCGUGUGGUAAAUCCCUUGGCUCCAUCUCAUGCACUCAGGUGCAAAGCAGCCGCUGGAGCCCAGCCGCCAGCAGCUCGGUAAUCUCAGCCCCGCAGCCUUCCGGGUUUCCUGCCCUGAAUCACACACAGCCCCCAAAGACACAAACGUUUGGCAAUUGUUAGCAGAGCACACGGGCACACACAGCCCAGGCAGAUAGGAGCACUGGUGCUGCCUUCCACCCAUGUACCCUUUUCCCAUAUUGAUGUGUUUGCCCGUUGCUGUAGGACCACAGGGAGUGUUGGCUCAGUGCUGCAGCCCCUGCCAGCGUUGCGCUCUUGCUUCCAACCUAGAGGGGAGCCCUGGGAGACCUGACAUCAGGUCUGAGUGGAACAAUGGUGCCCAGUGGUGCGAGGGGGCAGGACAGCAGCCGGACAGCAGGCAAUGUCGCCUUGUGGAAAAGACAUCCCUGCAGCCCUCCCUAUGUGCUUACCCCACCAAAGCCAGAAGUGGCUGCAGAGUCCACACACAUCUGUGGAGCUGGAGGUGUCCCAAGCGUGUUAAAAGGCGCACGCAUGCCCCAUUGCAGCCACCAGUACAGGGCUCUGCUGGCUGAGGCCAGACACCGCUCACCACACAUAUGGGUGGUUUGGGUGUCACCCCCAGGCUGGGAGCAGUGGAAGAGGAGGUGGCUGACCCAAUGCUGGGUGAUGCUAGGUCCCAUCUGAGUCCUAGAGGGAAUACCUCAUCCCCAAAGGCACAGCUGAGUGUUUCCUGAGCAGUGCCAGGGGGGCAAACUCAGCCAGGGCAGGAGAAGCCCCUCAGCCCCGUAUCACUGGGGGUUCCUGGCUGUGCCCAAGACAGCAGCCCGUUUCCACAUCUGCCCUUUUCUUGGGUGUCAGAGCCUCUUGGAGGCCGCACCUCCCCACAACUGCCUCCCUGGAACGGGGAUGCCGGUCGCUCCCUCCCACGGCUUCCCCUUUUCUCAGAAAGCCUGGAAACCAAAGGUGAAAGAAGUGGGUGGGAACCCCGCACGCUGCCGUCCAGGAAGAGAAGUGAGUAAGACGGCAGCAGUAUUUAACGGUGCCUCCGCCGCUCGGCUCACAGUCCUGCCGCCAGAGAGACAGAGCCGGGAGAUGCCGACGGAGACCCGGCCACAUGGGGCAGCGGGAAGUCGGCGAGGACUGGCUGCUUGGCUUUGAGAACUGAAUUCCAUAGGCGUUAAAGCAUCCGAAAAUGCCCUAUGGAUUCAGUUCUGCAGUUGGGCAGCAAAUAAGCCUCCAGCCUUCGGGAAGAGAGAGGAGCUGAGUGCUGUAUCUGCAGAAACACGCACAGAGAUUCCAGCAGGGGUGGAGAUGUGCUGCUCUGCACCUGCUGCAAAAGCUCACCUAACACACCCAGUCCCACCUGCACCAGGUCUGUGAUUCUGGAGAAAACUCAAAGCACCACAUCUGACUGCUGCAUCACCACAUAAGGAUCUGAAGUGCAAGCUUUGGGAUUACUGUUUAAACUGCUGCCCUUCAGAUGGUGAAGGGAUAACCGCCAACCAUUGGCAGAGCCAACCUCUGCCCAUUCAGCAAGCCCCGCUGCUCACAGUACAGCUAGGGAGCAGCAGCAGCUUGAAGUUUCUGUAGCAGCUUUUCUGGUUCAGAGCUUUCACUGCUCCAUCUAGCAGUGAUGAGCUCACCUAUUUCAGAGAAACAAAUGGAAAAGUUACAUUAAA